rnacentral:rRNA from 1 species
AUUAAAUGUAAUAAAAAUAAAUUGAGUAGUAUUAGUUAUAUUCUUAAAACUUAAUAAAUUUGGCGGUAUUUUAAUCUGUUCAGAGGAACUUGUUUUUUAAUUGAUAAUCCCCAUUUAAUCUUACUUAAUUUAAUUAAUUUGUAUAUCGUCGUCAUAAGAAUAUCUUAAAAAAGUUAAUCAUUUUCUAAUAUUUUAAUUAAUAAUUAUGUCAGAUCAAGGUGCAGUUUAUAAUUAAGUAAAAAUGAGUUACAAUAAUAUUAUUUAUACGAAUUUUAAAUUGGAAAAUUUUUAUAAAGGUGGAUUUGAUAGUAAAAUAAUAAAUAGAAAUUAUUUGAUUUUAGUUCUAAAAUAUGC